AAAUUUCUUAUGUAGACCACCACCGUGCCAUGGGUGGAGCCUAAACCUAAUUCCCCGUCUCCCGAUCUCCUCUCCACUCCCAGAUCCCAGCCGCCACCCCCAUCUUGCAUCUUUGUCUCCUCCACGACAGUGAGCCGCUGCCGUUGUUUGCCAGCCCGCCGCCGCUAGCUCCCUGCCCCAGCAGCCCACCGCGUCGAUUCGCUACUAACCCGGCCUUCAUGCCGAGGCAACGCCGUCCGCCCGUCCCAAGGAGCUCCCAAUCGUCCAACGCCUGAGCUACCCCCUAUGGCAUUCUUGGAGCCCAUGUCCGCUGCCAAGGGCACCGGCUCUGGUGACACCGACACCACAUCCACGGCCUCUUCUCCGGCGGCCUGUCUGCCUAUCCGACAUCCCGGAGCAAGAGGUGCCUGGACGGCUACCUGACUACGGACUCCCACGACCAGCAACGACUCUGACGGUGGCACCGCCGUGGAGCAGAAAAAGGACCCCCAAGCACGGACCUCCUUCCUCUCCAGACCGCAGCAGUGACUUGCCUUCUCUGCAGGAUCCCGUAAACUUCAGAGGUUUUGCAAAACUGGAUCUGAGCACUAUGGAGUCUGGAAUUUGGCUUAGUAUUUAUGAGAGGGAGAGCGUUCAAGCCAUCUUCCACCACCUCCUAAUCUAGAGGUGUCAGAUGUGAUUGUUGAGAAAGCUGCAGAUCAGGCUCUUCAAUGAAUAAACAAGGUGAUGGCUAUUUCUCAUGACACUUCCAUCAAGAGAGAUACAAUAAAUUUUAUGUAGAUAUAUCUCCUGCCCACCUAUAACUUCUUUGUGCAUGUUCUGGUUUCACACACGCACAUGCACACGCUUCUCUCUAUCUUAUGUACAUUCUAUUUUUGUUUCAUUGUCUGCUUGGUGCAGAAGGUUAUAUUGGCUCCGCGGGCAGUUUCAUGUAUUCGGAUGCUCUUCAACUUUACGCUCAUUUGCAUCCUUGUAGUCUCAUGGAUUUCUAUAAUAUUUGAAUAUGCAAUGCUGAUGGACAGGAAGAACAAUGCUCGUCAGUCCGAUAAUUUGGUGUUCACUCGCUUGUGGAGAUUGGCAUAGGAAACAAGUCUUUUUGGUUCAGCUCAAAACAUUAUGAUUUUGGACUAGUUAUCAACUACUCUUUAUUCUUGCCGUGACUUGGCCAUGUGAUAUGGUUGCAACUGAUUCUAUUGUUGUUUCUGUCCCAUUAAUGUAAAUGUGACUUACAGUUCCUAUGUUUUUUUUAUCUAUUUUGUGAUUGAAAUGCAAUUAGUUAAUUUUGUGAGCCUGAAA